ACAACUUUUAACGGUGGAUCUCUAGGCUCGUGCAUCGAUGGAGAACGCAGCGAAAUGCGAUACGUAGUGUGAAUUGCAGAUCUUCGUGAAUCAUUGAAUCUUUGAACGC
rnacentral:rRNA from 1 species